rnacentral:tRNA from 1 species
AUUUUCUUAGUAUAAUUAGUACUAAUGACUUCCAAUCAUAAAGUCUUGGUUGAACCCCGAGAGAAAAUA